GGAACUGCCGACUUCCGAAAUAACACUCCGAGAAUUUCGAUAAAUAAAUAGAAUUACAAAACAACACUGAGUUUUUGUAUCGAUAUCACUACACAAUAAUAUUGUCGCCACUUUCCGAUCGUUAUAUCGACUGUGAGCGCUGCGUCAUCGUCGGUGUUUGAAAUUAAUAACGACGUUAAUACACUGCCGUUUCUGCGGAUUACAAAUUUUGAAUAUCGACAACGCUUUAGUUUUCUGUUUUGCGUACACUAAUACGUAAGAUAAUCGAAUAGAAUACGGACGGCAAU